AUUCAGGUGACGAGUCCCAAAUAGGACGAAACGCGCAUCCUGGAU
rnacentral:hammerhead_ribozyme from 1 species